rnacentral:rRNA from 1 species
CCUACGGGAGUCAGCAGUGAGGAAUAUUGGUCAAUGGACGAGAGUCUGCACCAGCCAAGUAGCGUGAAGGAUGACUGCCCUCUGGGUUGUAAACUUCUUUUAUCUGGGAAUAAAACGUUCCAAGUGUGGGAUUUUGUAUGUACCAUAUGAAUAAGGAUCGGCUAACUCCGUGCCAGCAGCCGCGGUAAUACGGAGGAUCCGAGCGUUAUCCGGAUUUAUGGGGUUUAAAGGGAGCGUAGGUGGUUUGUUAAGUCAGUUGUGAAAGUUUGCGCCUCAACCGUAAAAUUGAAGUUGAAACUGGCAGUUUUGAGUACAGGAGAGGUGGGCGGAAUUCGUGUGUAGCGGUGAAAUGCUUAGAUAUCACGAGGAACUCCGAUUGCGAAGGCAGUUCACUGGACUGCAACUGACACUGAGGCUCGAAAGUGUGGGUAUCAAACAGGAUUAGAUACCCGAGUAGUC